GGGGUAUGUAGCUCAGUGGUAGAGCGCCCGCUUUGCAUGCGGAAGGCCCGGGGUUCGAUCCCCCGCAUCUCUA